AUUGAACGCUGGCGGCAGUCCUAACACAUGCAAGUCGAACGAGUGGCGGACGUGUGAGUAAUGUCUGGGAAACUGCCUGAUGGAGGGGGAUAACUACUGGAAACGGUAGCUAAUACCGCAUACCAUCAGAUGUGCCCAGAUGGGAUUAUCUAGUUGGGGGGGUAACGGAUAACCAAGGCGCCGAUCCCUAGCUGGUCUGAGAGGAUGACCAGCCAAACUGGAACGGAGACACGGUCCAGACGCCUACGGGAGGGAGCAGGGGGGAAUAGUGCACAAGGGGCGCAAGCCUGAUGCAGCCAUGCCGCGUGUAUGAAGAAGGCCUUCGGGUUGUAAAGGACUUUCAGCGGGGAGGCGUUACCCGCAGAAGAAGCACCGGCUAACUCCGUGCCAGCAGCCGCGGUAAUAC
rnacentral:rRNA from 1 species